rnacentral:rRNA from 1 species
ACGGCGAGUGAAGCGGCAAAAGCUCAAAUUUUAAAGCUGACAUCUUCGGUGUCCGCGUUGUAAUUUUGUGAGGCAUCUCCGGGUAGGGCGCCAGCCUAAGUUCCUUGGAACAGGACGUCACAGAGGGUGAGAAUCCCGUGCUUGGCUGGCUGUCCCCGUCCACGUGAGGUGUCUUCGACGAGUCGAGUUGUUUGGGAAUGCAGCUCAAAAUGGGUGGUAAAUUUCAUCUAAAGCUAAAUAUUGGUGGGAGACCGAUAGCGCACAAGUAGAGUGAUCGAAAGAUGAAAAGCACUUUGAAAAUAGAGUUAAAAAGUACGUGAAAUUGUUGAAAGGGAAGCGCUUGAGACCAGACUUCGGUAGGGGGUGAUCAGCCGUCCUUCUGGGCGGUGCACUUGCCCCCCUCCGGGCCAGCAUCGGUUGAGGCGGCGGGAUAAAGGUCCCGGGAAUGUGGCUCCUUCACGGGAGUGUUAUAGCCCGGGUGAAUGCCGCCAGCCUCGACCGAGGACCGCGCCCGCAAGGGUUAGGAUGCUUG